CAGCCGCCGCGGGAAUACGGAGGGUGCAAGCGUUAAUCGGAUUUACUGGGCGUAAAGCGUGCGUAGGCGGCUUCUUAAGUCGGAUGUGAAAUCCCUGAGCUUAACUUAGGAAUUGCAUUCGAUACUGGGAAGCUAGAGUAUGGGAGAGGAUGGUAGAAUUCCAGGUGUAGCGGUGAAAUGCGUAGAGAUCUGGAGGAAUACCGAUGGCGAAGGCAGCCAUCUGGCCUAAUACUGACGCUGAGGUACGAAAGCAUGGGGAGCAAACAGGAUUAGAUACCCCAGUAGUCCCUGUCUCUUAUAC
rnacentral:rRNA from 1 species